ACCCUAACCCGACGGAAAGGGAGGGUACGCCCGGUCGAAGGGUAGGGUACGACGAUUGGGGUG
rnacentral:rRNA from 1 species